CAGCACAGAUAGGCUUUGGCCAGCCUGAGGAGUGAGUUAUUUAUGCUGAUGAAGCUAAUUUUGCGAAACGGCUUUUUUGAAUAUCUGGAGAGAGCCGUAUGCUUGAUUGGAUACGCAUAUCUCUACAUAUGAAGUUUGCAUUCUUCUACAAUGGCAUGUGGAGGCUGAGUCUGAAAUUUAUGGAACCUACAUUCUACUGAGGCUAUAUUUACAGCUGGACUCUUCUUCGGAACUUGUAUUUCUCCUCCUUUGCAGGGAUGCUUUUGAGACCACGCCACUCACAAUAUCAUCUGGCAACCGUGCUCAGACAUUACUUUCCUUUUGUCCCUCAGUACGGGCUGUUAUUGGUUUCUAAUUGUUCAUUGUUAUUCUGUUAUUGUAUUUUCUUGGUAAUUGUUUUAGGUUUUUCAUUUCUUCAUGCUUUUUGAGUUUUACAGAUGUUUACAGGUUUGAGGUUAUUUACUUCAGUUUUCUAGUUUUUGAGUUCUUUUUGUCAUUCUUGGUCCUUUAAGGUUUUUUUUAAUGUCAGCCAGUUAGGGAUAGUUUACUUAGAUCCCUGCCUACCUCAUUUAGUUCUUUAGCAGCCCCACGUUUGCCUUGUUUAGGAGUACCUCUACUAGAUGGUUAUGACCAUUAUUAUUUAUAUUUGACCAAUAUCAAUUGGUUUUCAUUAUAAGUGGUUAUUUAUGGUUCAGUUAUUAAGUUUCUUACCAUUGUCUCAUUGGCUAUCAGUAUAUAUUUUCAGUAUAUAUUGUUUAUUGCAAUAUAUGAUCUUUUAUACA